rnacentral:lncRNA from 1 species
UCAAGGUCCUCUUUUUCCACUAUUUUGAUGUCUGCACUUUUCCUAUAUGAUUUAAUUUACUUCACAGUUCAUGAAAUAUGUUCAGCCUAAUUGCCAACUAAAUCAUUUUUAUAGCAUUUCCUAUAUUAAGUUAAACUUUGGAAGAACAAUAACAGUUGCACUAUAGAGCAAAAAAAAAUCUGACCAGCAAACGAAAAGAUGUACUAACCGGUCCUUACCAUGAGAAUUGUCGUCCACUGAAUAAGCAACUCCAUCGUUUUCAACCAAUGAUUCUCCAGUUCCUUGACCUGUUAUGAUAACCUCUAUUGCAGCAUCUGUGACAACCCGAACUUCCGAGGUUAGUUUCAUCAACAUCUCCGUCCACUUGUAAUAACACCUAACAAUUAUACAAGAUAAACUACACUUAAUCUCCAAAGAAAGAGUAACGUUAACUUGUUCAAAAAAUAGCCCAUCCACUAUCAAACAAAAGCUGGCCAACGACAUAUAAUAUAUAGUAUAUUAGCAUUAUACCUGUUGAAUUUUCCGCUUAUCUUCACAUCUGCUUCCAGCUUUCACAGUUCUAACUGAUUCUGCCUUAGUAGACUUGGCGUCCGCCUUAGAAACAGCAGCAUUAGUUUGAUGGGACUUCACUGAAAGAUCAACAUCG